rnacentral:rRNA from 1 species
UACGUAGGGGGCAAGCGUUGUCCGGAAUCAUUGGGCGUAAAGAGCGUGUAGGUGGCUCGGUAAGUCCGCUGUGAAAGUCCAGGGCUCAACCCUGGAACGCCGGUGGAAACUGUCGAGCUCGAGUCCGGAAGAGGCGAGUGGAAUUCCUGGUGUAGCGGUGAAAUGCGCAGAUAUCAGGAGGAACACCAAUGGCGAAGGCAGCUCGCUGGGACGGUACUGACACUGAGACGCGAAAGCGUGGGGAGCAAACAGG